rnacentral:snoRNA from 1 species
AUUUUUUUUUAAAAAAAUUGCGUGACAGAGAUGAGCUUUGUUCUUUAUCGCUGACGGUCAACCUCUAAGAAGUUCUGAGCUU